ensembl:miRNA
UACCCAUUCAUCCAUGGGUGGGGAUUUGUUGCAUUACUUGUGUUCUAUAUAAAGUAUUGCACUUCUCCCGGCCUGUGGAAGAAAG